AUCAACUUUCGAUGGUAGGAUAGAGGCCUACCAUGGUGGUAACGGGUAACGGGGUGUUAGGGCACGACACCGGAGAGGGAGCCUGAGAAACGGCUACCACAUCCAAGGAUGGCAGCAGGCGCGCAAAUUACCCAAUCCCGACACGGGGAGGUAGUGACAAUAAAUAACAAUACGGGGUUCUUUAGGAUCUCGUAAUUGGAAUGAGUACAAUUUAAAUCUCUUAACGAGGAACAAUUGGAGGGCAAGUCUGGUGCCAGCAGCCGCGGUAAUUCCAGCUCCAAUAGCGUAUAUUAAAGUUGUUGCAGUUAAAAAGCUCGUAGUUGAAUUUCGGGGUUAGUAGGCUGGUCGUGCCACUGGUAUGUACUGGUCUUACUGACUUCUCCUUUCUGAAGAACUGUAAUGCCAUUAAUUUGGUGUUGCAGGGAAACAGGACUGUUACUUUGAAAAAAUUAGAGUGUUUAAAGCAGGCUAACGCUUGAAUACAUUAGCAUGGAAUAAUGAAAUAGGACGUUCGAUCCUAUUUUGUUGGUUUCUAGGGUUGACGUAAUGAUUAAUAGGGAUAGUUGGGGGCAUUAGUAUUCAAUUGUCAGAGGUGAAAUUCUUGGAUUUAUUGAAGACUAACUACUGCGAAAGCAUUUGCCAAGGAUGUUUUCAUUAAUCAAGAACGAAAGUUAGGGGAUCGAAGACGAUCAGAUACCGUCGUAGUCUUAACCAUAAACUAUGCCGACUAGGGAUCGGAUGAUGUUAAUUUUUUAAUGACUCAUUCGGCGCCUUACGGGAAACCAAAGUGUUUGGGUUC
rnacentral:rRNA from 1 species